UACAGAGGGUGCAAGCGUUGUUCGGAAUCAUUGGGCGUAAAGGGCGUGUAGGCGGAAUUGUAAGUACCUUGUGAAAUCCCACGGCUCAACCGUGGAACUGCUUGGUAUACUGCUUUUCUUGAGCCACUUAGGGGCUACCGGAACAAAUGGUGGAGCGGUGAAAUGCGUAGAUAUCAUUUGGAACGCCAAUGGUGAAAACAGGUAGCUGGGAGUGUGCUGACGCUGAGACACGAAAGCCAGGGGAGCGAACGGG
rnacentral:rRNA from 1 species